rnacentral:rRNA from 1 species
AUGGACGCACCGCUGGUGCACCGGUUGUUACGCCAGUAGCACAGCCGGGCAGCUAAGUGCGGAACGGAUAAACGCUGAAAGCAUCUAAGCGUGAAGCCGCCUCCAAGAUAAGAUAUCCCAUGGCGUAAGCCAGUAAGACCCCUCAUGGACUAUGAGGUUGAUAGGUUGCAUGUGUAAGCGUGGUGACACGUUCAGCUUGGCAAUACUAAUAGGUCGAGGGCUUGACCAU